AUUGAACGCUGGCGGCGUGCCUAACACAUGCAAGUCGCACGCGAAAGGGGGCAACCCCAAGUAGAGUGGCGGACGGGUGAGUAACGCGUAGGAAUCUACCUAGUAGUGGGGGACAACCCGGCGAAAGCCGGGCUAAUACCGCAUACGACCUAAGGGUGAAAGCAGGGGAUCGCAAGACCUUGCGCUAUUAGAUGAGCCUGCGUCCGAUUAGCUAGUUGGUGAGGUAACGGCUCACCAAGGCGACGAUCGGUAACUGGUUUGAGAGAACGACCAGUCACAUUGGGACUGAGACACGGCCCAAACUCCUACGGGAGGCAGCAGUGGGGAAUAUUGGACAAUGGGGGCAACCCUGAUCCAGCGACGCCGCGUGUGUGAAGAAGGCCUUCGGGUUGUAAAGCACUUUCGGCAGGGACAAACAAGACGGAGCUAACAUCUCCGUUCCUGAUGGUACCUGAAGAAGAAGCACCGGCUAACUCUGUGCCAGCAGCCGCCGCCG
rnacentral:rRNA from 1 species